CAGCCGCCACGGUAAAACGGAGGAUCCGAGCGUUAUCCGGAAUUAUUGGGUUUAAAGGGUGCGUAGGCGGAUAGAUAAGUCAGUGGUGAAAGACGGUGGCUCAACCAUCGCAGUGCCGUUGAUACUGUUUAUCUUGAAUAUGGAUGAGGUAGGCGGAAUGUGGCAAGUAGCGGUGAAAUGCAUAGAUAUGCCACAGAACACCGAUUGCGAAGGCAGCUUACCAAGGCAAAAUUGACGCUGAGGCACGAAAGCGUGGGGAUCGAACAGGAUUAGAUACCCCUGUAGUCCCUGUCUCUUAUAC
rnacentral:rRNA from 1 species